GGGCUCGUAGCUCAGCUGGUAGAGCAGUGGACUCAUAAUCCAUUGGUCGAAGGUUCAAAUCCUUCCGGGCCCA
rfam:Planctomycetes bacterium RBG_13_44_8b RBG_13_scaffold_4313, whole genome shotgun sequence.